rnacentral:lncRNA from 1 species
GUUUUCUUCUCUCAAGUAUGAAAGCUUCCAAAUGAUUGCUAAUAACUUUAAACCUUUUGUUUUAUAAAUUUUGUGCAGCUUUUAUACAUUAAUUUUGGGCAUUUUUAUCUAAAUGGAACACGAAUCACAUAUGUUUGAUGUUUUCCUUCUUCCUCUCAUAUAGUGUGUAUCAAGUACAGUUUAGUCUAUUCAUCUCUAACUAUGAACAUGCCACAAUUAUUUUCAACUGCCAUUCUACAGAAGCUCACGUGCUGGGAAAUCAUAAGCCUGAUGGUAGAACAUGCACAUUUUCUAAGAUUAAGGCAAAGCUCUGGAUUGUGUCUAAUUCAUCAUUCUACCAUCUGUUUAACAUGGAUUUAUCACUAGUUACUGGCUUGGAGGAAAGUGGAUCCUGAAGGUUUUGGUUGAUGACCAUCAUCAAGGUGAACAGUUAUCUCCCACUGAGCUAAAGCACUAUAAUGAAGAUGCAGCUUGAGAAUAAUUCAGGACAUUACAUAGGCUGGUCUCUUUUCCUCAAAUACAUUGAGGAACGUGAGUAUAGAAAAGAGGGAGCAGACAUCUGGAUUACGGUGAUGUAACCACUUCUUCACAGAUGGAGGAUGAUAUAAUUAUUCCAGGAAUUUCUAUAUGUAUUGAUCAGCCAUUAAAAUAAAAAUCUACCCACCAUUUGCUUCA